CUCUUUGGGCGGGCGAUUGCGGGGAGGCUUCGGCCUGCCGGUUUCCUUUGUCACCGGUCUGUCAACCCUGCUCUCUGCCCGCCCACCCCG
rnacentral:antisense_RNA from 1 species